rnacentral:rRNA from 1 species
GGAGUUAGCCGGUGCUUCUUCUGCGAGUAACGUCACAGAUGUAAGGUAUUAACUUACACCCUUUCCUCCUCGCUGAAAGUGCUUUACAACCCGAAGGCCUUCUUCACACACGCGGCAUGGCUGCAUCAGGGUUUCCCCCAUUGUGCAAUAUUCCCCACUGCUGCCUCCCGUAGGAGUCUGGGCCGUGUCUCAGUCCCAGUGUGGCUGAUCAUCCUCUCAGACCAGCUAGGGAUCGUCGCCUAGGUGAGCCUUUACCUCACCUACUAGCUAAUCCCACCUGGGCUUAUCCAUCAGCGCAAGGCCCGAAGGUCCCCUGCUUUCCCCCGUAGGGCCGUAUGCGGUAUUAGCAGUCGUUUCCAACUGUUAUCCCCACAAAUGGGCAAAUUCCCAGGCAUUACUCACCCGUCCGCCGCUCGUCAUCUUCAAAAGCAAGCUUUUGAAAUGUUACCGCUCGACUUGCAUGUGUUAGGCCUGCCGCCAGCGUUCAAUCUGAGCCAGAAUCAAACUCUGA